rnacentral:rRNA from 1 species
CCUACGGGAGGCAGCAGUGGGGGAUAUUGCACAAUGGGGGAAACCCUGAUGCAGCGACGCCGCGUGGGUGAAGAAGUAUUUCGGUAUGUAAAGCCCUAUCAGCAGGGAAGAAAGAAGACGGUACCUGACUAAGAAGCCCCGGCUAACUACGUGCCAGCAGCCGCGGUAAUACGUAGGGGGCGAGCGUUAUCCGGAUUCACUGGGUGUAAAGGGAGCGUAGACGGCCGUGCAAGCCAGGAGUGAAAGCCCGGGGCCCAACCCCGGGACUGCUCUUGGAACUGGGCGGCUGGAGUGCGGGAGGGGCAAGCGGAAUUCCUGGUGUAGCGGUGAAAUGCGUAGAUAUCAGGAGGAACACCGGCGGCGAAGGCGGCCUGCUGGACCGCGACUGACGUUGAGGCUCGAAAGCGUGGGGAGCGAACAGGAUUAGAUACCCGAGUAGUC